ACUCCUUCGGGAGGCAGCAGUGGGGAAUAUUGGACAAUGGGCGCAAGCCUGAUCCAGCAAUGCCGCGUGUGUGAAGAAGGCCUGCGGGUUGUAAAGCACUUUCAGUAGAGAAGAAAAGCUUACGGUUAAUACCCGUGAGUCUUGACGUAACCUACAGAAGAAGCACCGGCUAACUCCGUGCCAGCAGCCGCGGUAAU
rnacentral:rRNA from 1 species